GUUCGCAUAGUGUAGUGGUUAUCACGUUCGCCUCACAUCACAACAUGUGACCCGCGAAAGGUCCCAGGUUCGAAACCUGGUGCGAACA
rfam:Verticillium longisporum isolate VL1 genome assembly, contig: scaffold_180